GUUGAGUAACGCGGGUUGUAGUUGAUGAAGGUGAAGCCGCGCGACUGGUCAAUAAUGUGAAACAGCGGGUUCCAGUCGAACAUGGCCAGCAUGAAACUGGGCAACGUAUUGGCGACGAACAUCUUGCCUGACGCGAUCAUGUUGGCGCGCUG
rnacentral:ncRNA from 1 species